CGUGCUUAACACAUGCAAGUCGAACGGUGAAAGAGAGCUUGCUCUCUGGAUCAGUGGCGAACGGGUGAGUAACACGUGAGCAAUCUGCCCCUGACUCUGGGAUAAGCGCUGGAAACGGCGUCUAAUACCGGAUACGAGCUGCGAAGGCAUCUUCAGCAGCUGGAAAGAACUUCGGUCAGGGAUGAGCUCGCGGCCUAUCAGCUAGUUGGUGAGGUAAUGGCUCACCAAGGCGUCGACGGGUAGCCGGCCUGAGAGGGUGACCGGCCACACUGGGACUGAGACACGGCCCAGACUCCUACGGGAGGCAGCAGUGGGGAAUAUUGCACAAUGGGCGCAAGCCUGAUGCAGCAACGCCGCGUGAGGGACGACGGCCUUCGGGUUGUAAACCUCUUUUAGCAGGGAAGAAGCGAAAGUGACGGUACCUGCAGAAAAAGCACCGGCUAACUACGUGCCAGCAGCCGCGGUAAUACGUAGGGUGCAAGCGUUAUCCGGAAUUAUUGGGCGUAAAGAGCUCGUAGGCGGUUUGUCGCGUCUGCUGUGAAAACUGGGGGCUCAACCCCCAGCCUGCAGUGGGUACGGGCAGACUAGAGUGCGGUAGGGGAGAUUGGAAUUCCUGGUGUAGCGGUGGAAUGCGCAGAUAUCAGGAGGAACACCGAUGGCGAAGGCAGAUCUCUGGGCCGUAACUGACGCUGAGGAGCGAAAGGGUGGGGAGCAAACAGGCUUAGAUACCCUGGUAGUCCACCCCGUAAACGUUGGGAACUAGUUGUG
rnacentral:rRNA from 1 species